UCUUCUCCACGAUCUCCUAUCUUCACCGUUUCUACUCCACGAUUUUCAUCUAACUGCUUCAUCUGCAUCUUUAAAAGAUUCGAAAUUGUUUUUUCUCUCCCUUGACGAACUCACUAUCUUCUUCUCACUUGUGCUGACUCUCUUUCUCAAAUCCAAAAACUCAUUCAAUCACUAUUGGAGUUCGCUAUGUAUACAACAUCUAAGAAGAGACAUUGGCAUUUAGCAUAAGUGCCUAAAUAAUUCUUUAUUUUUUCUUCUUCGAGGUAACAACUUCUUCAAUCUGUAGCUUUACUUUAAAAGUGUAAUUCAUAUACUUCUUUAACAACUAGGCUUGGUACAUUUGGGUUUUUUUUAUUGGUCAAAGGCUUGGUACAUUUGGUUAACAAUUGAGAUUUCUUAUUUGGUGGCAGAAUAGAGAUGAACGAUGUUGGGCAGAGAAGCUGCUGGUUGGAACUUGGUUCAACGAAAUCUUCAAUUUAGAAUGAGGAACAAACGUUCUAUACGGUUAUCACUAAAUGUGAAUUAUAUGUUGCAUUAGAUAUUGCAAGAAAAGUAACUUGAAGUUUAUUAUUUUUAAAAUUGUAACAAGUUGUGUGACUUUUUUUUAGAAGAAUAAAAAACAUGUAUUUCUUCAACAUGAUUAAUUUUUUGUUAUAUUACUCAUAUUUUAAUCAAAAGUUCAAUCAACAGUUUCAG
rnacentral:lncRNA from 1 species